rnacentral:rRNA from 1 species
GAUGAACGCUGGCGGCGUGCCUAAUACAUGCAAGUCGAGCGAACAGACGAGGAGCUUGCUUCUCUGACGUUAGCGGCGGACGGGUGAGUAACACGUGGAUAACCUACCUAUAAGACUGGGAUAACUUCGGGAAACCGGAGCUAAUACCGGAUAAUAUAUUGAACCGCAUGGUUCAAUAGUGAAAGACGGUUUUGCUGUCACUUAUAGAUGGAUCCGCGCUGCAUUAGCUAGUUGGUAGGGUAACGGCUUACCAAGGCAACGAUGCGUAGCCGACCUGAGAGGGUGAUCGGCCACACUGGAACUGAGACACGGUCCAGACUCCUACGGGAGGCAGCAGUAGGGAAUCUUCCGCAAUGGGCGAAAGCCUGACGGAGCAACGCCGCGUGAGUGAUGAAGGUCUUCGGAUCGUAAAACUCUGUUAUUAGGGAAGAACAAAUGUGUAAGUAACUAUGCACGUCUUGACGGUACCUAAUCAGAAAGCCACGGCUAACUACGUG